rnacentral:lncRNA from 1 species
GUAGAUGCCUCCGGCCUUCGACGAAGAACGUGGUAAAGGCUACAGGCAUCUUCGGCCUUCGAUGAAGAACGCGGCGAAGGCCGCAGGCAUUUCCGAUCUUUGGUGAAAAACGCGGCGAAGAAGAACCCGAGCUAUCGCCUCUCCGUUACCUUAUGGAUCGGGAUCGUUGAGGGAGGGCGGCACCGGAUUGGAAAGCAUCAAGGUUCUCCCGAGUCUCCCUCUUCUUCGAGCACUUUCUCCCUCUUCUCCCUCGUCGC